rnacentral:rRNA from 1 species
UACGUAGGGCGCAAGCGUGUCCGGAAUUAUUGGGCGUAAAGAGCUCGUAGGCGGCUUGUCACGUCGGGUGUGAAAGCCCGGGGCUUAACCCCGGGUCUGCAUUCGAUACGGGCAGGCUAGAGUGUGGUAGGGGAGAUCGGAAUUCCUGGUGUAGCGGUGAAAUGCGCAGAUAUCAGGAGGAACACCGGUGGCGAAGGCGGUUCUCUGGGCAUGUCCUGACGCUGAGGAGCGAAAGUGUGGGGAGCGAACAGG